GCAACCUACCUUAAUCAGGGGGAUAGCCUCUCGAAAGAGAGAUUAACACCGCAUAACAUCAUUUUACGGCAUCGUAGAAUGAUCAAAUAUUUAUAGGAUUAAGAUGGGCAUGCGUGACAUUAGCUAGUUGGUGAGGUAAUGGCUCACCAAGGCUACGAUGUCUAGGGGAUCUGAGAGGAUGACCCCCCACACUGGUACUGAGACACGGACCAGACUCCUACGGGAGGCAGCAGUAAGGAAUAUUGGUCAAUGGAGGCAACUCUGAACCAGCCAUGCCGCGUGCAGGAAGACGGCCCUAUGGGUUGUAAACUGCUUUUAUACGGGAAUAAACCUCUCUACGUGUAGGGAGUUGAAUGUACUGUAAGAAUAAGGAUCGGCUAACUCCGUGCCAGCAGCCGCGGUAAUACGGAGGAUCCAAGCGUUAUCCGGAUUUAUUGGGUUUAAAGGGUGCGUAGGCGGCCUAUUAAGUCAGGGGUGAAAGACGGUGGCUCAACCAUCGCAGUGCCCUUGAUACUGAUGGGCUUGAUUACACUUGAGGUAGGCGGAAUGUGACAAGUAGCGGUGAAAUGCAUAGAUAUGUCACAGAACACCAAUUGCGAAGGCAGCUUACUAAGGUGUCAAUGACGCUGAGGCACGAAAGCGUGGGGAUCAAACAGGAUUAGAUACCCUGGUAGUCCACGCCCUAAACGAUGAAUACUCGAUGUUAGCGAUAUACAGUUAGCGUCAAAGCGAAAGCGUUAAGUAUUCCACCUGGGGAGUACGCCCGCAAGGGUGAAACUCAAAGGAAUUGACGGGGGCCC
rnacentral:rRNA from 1 species